UACGUAGGGUGCAAGCGUUGUCCGGAAUUAUUGGGCGUAAAGAGCUCGUAGGCGGUUUGUCGCGUCUGCUGUGAAAACUCGGGGCUUAACUCCGGGCCUGCAGUGGGUACGGGCAGACUAGAGUGCGGUAGGGGAGACUGGAAUUCCUGGUGUAGCGGUGAAAUGCGCAGAUAUCGGGAGGAACACCGGUGGCGAAGGCGGUUCUCUGGGCCUUACCUGACGCUGAGGAGCGAAAGCGUGGGGAGCUAACAGG
rnacentral:rRNA from 1 species